rnacentral:rRNA from 1 species
GAUGAACGCUAGCGAUAGGCUUAACACAUGCAAGUCGAGGGGCAUCGAGGGUAGCAAUACCUGUCGGCGACCGGCGCACGGGUGAGUAACGCGUAUGAACCUGCCCGCAACAGAGGGAUAACCCGGCGAAAGUCGGACUAAUACCUCAUAAAACAGGGGUUCCGCAUGGGGCUAUUUGUUAAAGAUUUAUUGGUUGCGGAUGGGCAUGCGUACCAUUAGGUAGUUGGUGAGGUAACGGCUCACCAAGCCAUCGAUGGUUAGGGGUUCUGAGAGGAAGGUCCCCCACACUGGUACUGAGACACGGACCAGACUCCUACGGGAGGCAGCAGUGAGGAAUAUUGGUCAAUGGGCGAGAGCCUGAACCAGCCAAGUCGCGUGAAGGAUGACUGCCCUAUGGGUUGUAAACUUCUUUUACAGGGGAAUAAAAUGAGAUACGUGUAAU